UUCUUUUCUUUUUCGUUUGUUCCUCUCUCUUUGUUGUGCAAAGGAGAUUCUCUCUGAUUCCCCAUAGCGCGAGAAGAGAAAAGAGAACUCUCCCCCUUCGUAUUAUAAUACUUUACUUUUUUUUUCAAGAGAUUGAUUAUUUGAGAGAAGAAGAAGAAAAAUGGGAUUAACCAAACAAGUUCGAAACUUUGUGAUU
rnacentral:ribozyme from 13 species